UCGUUCGUGCGCAGGCGUCGAAGCGUUCUCACAGCCCUUUUUAAAGUUAAUAGGGAUGGGAAAGUCUCAAAGUAUCUCAACUUCUGAAGCCAAAUAAAAGAUAUUUGACGAUGGAGUGUCAAGUAGGAAAACAACAACAAAAAAGAUAGAAAAUGAAAAACAAUAAUAAAACGAACGAAUUUAU